GCAAAAGGCUCAUUAUAUCAGUUAUGGUUCCUUAGAUUGUUAACAGUUACUUGGAUAACUGUGGUAAUUCUAGAGCUAAUACAUGCAAUAUAAACAUGUACCAUAAUGUAUUUAUAUAUUAUGAGACAUGUGCUUUUAUUAGACAAAAACCAAGCAAUUGACGAUUCGUUGUUGAUUGUUGAACAUUGGUUGAACUCUAGAUAACUCGCUGAUCGUAUGGUCUAGUACCGACGACAGAUCUUUCAAAUGUCUGCCCUAUCAACUUUUGAUGGUAGUAUAUUGGACAACCAUGGUUGCUACGGGUAACGGGGAAUCAGGGUUCGAUUCCGGAGAGGGAGCCUGAGAAACGGCUACCACAUCUAAGGAAGGCAGCAGGCGCGUAAAUUACCCACUCCCAGUUCGGGGAGGUAGUGACGAAAAAUAACAAUACAGGACUCAUUUUAGAGGCAUUGUAAUUGGAAUGAGUACACUUUAAAUCCUUUAACGAGGACCCAUUGGAGGGCAAGCCAAGUGCCAGCAGCCGCGGUAACACUUGCUCCAAUAGCGUAUAUUAAUGUUGUUGCGGUUAAAACGUUCGUAGUUUAACCUGUGCUUCAUACGGGUAGUACUGAUUAUAGCUAUAGUCAUUUACUAUACCUUCGGUAUGUAAGCGUAUUAUCGGUGGGAGUUUCAUAUGUGUAUAUGUUGUGUAGGAUUGUGUUGGAAGUCGUUGUCGUGCUGUGUCAUUGCGUUAAUUGUGCUCGUUGUCCUCUAGCGGAGGUACAUCGUCAUAUUAGGCAUGCGCUCACGUAUUGACGACAUUAUCAUCCAUUCUGCCAGUAUGCAUGUAUACUCCUAAUUUUCUUUUUCAACACAUCGAAAAAGAAAAACCCAUCGCAGUGCUCUUUAUCGGGUGUUGUGUGGGCCGGUACAAUUACUUUGAACAAAUUAGAGUGCUUCAAGCAGGCUAUUAAAUGCCUGAAUAUUUUGUGCAUGGAAUAAUGAAAUAAGACCUCUGUUCUACUUUCAUUGGUUUCUAGAUCAAAAGAGGUAAUGAUUAAUAGAAGCAGUUUGGGGGCAUUAGUAUUACGACGCGAGAGGUGAAAUUCUUGGACCGUCGUAAGACUAACUUAAGCGAAAGCAUUUGCCAAAGAUGUUUUCAUUAAUCAAGAACGAAAGUUAGAGGUUCGAAGGCGAUCAGAUACCGCCCUAGUUCUAACCAUAAACGAUGCCAGCUAGCAAUUGGGUGUAGCUAAGAUUAUGGC
rnacentral:rRNA from 1 species